rnacentral:rRNA from 1 species
AUUGAACGCUGGCGGCAUGCCUUACACAUGCAAGUCGAACGGCAGCACGGGAGCAAUCCUGGUGGCGAGUGGCGAACGGGUGAGUAAUAUAUCGGAACGUGCCCAGUCGUGGGGGAUAACGCAGCGAAAGCUGUGCUAAUACCGCAUACGAUCUACGGAUGAAAGCGGGGGAUCGCAAGACCUCGCGCGAUUGGAGCGGCCGAUAUCAGAUUAGCUAGUUGGAGAGGUAAAGGCUCACCAAGGCGACGAUCUGUAGCUGGUCUGAGAGGACGGCCGGCCCCACUGGACCGGAGACACGGUCCAGACUCCUACGGGAGGCAGCAGUGGGGAAUAUUGGACAAUGGGCGAAAGCCUGCUCCAGCCAUGCCGCGUGUGUGAAGAAGGCCUUCGGGUUGUACAGCACUUUCAGUAGGGAGGAAGCGUUGUGUGUUAAUAGUACACAGCGUUGACGUUACCUACAGAAGAAGCACCGGCUAACUCUGUGCCAGCAGCCGCCGUAACAC